CCUACGGGUGGCAGCAGUGAGGAAUAUUGGUCAAUGGUCGGGAGACUGAACCAGCCAAGCCGCGUGAGGGAGGAAGGUACAGAGUAUCGUAAACCUCUUUUGUCAGGGAACAAAGACUGGGACGCGUCCCCGGAUGAGUGUACCUGAAGAAAAAGCAUCGGCUAACUCCGUGCCAGCAGCCGCGGUAAUACGGAGGACGUGAGCGUUAUCCGGAUUUAUUGGGGUUAAAGGGUGCUCAGGAGGUCGGUUAAGUUAGGGGUAAAAGCCCGGGGCUCACCCCCGGCCCGCCGUUGAAACUGGCAGUCUCGAGUUGGAGAGAAGUAUGCGGAAUGCGCGGUGUAGCGGUGAAAUGCAUAGAUAUCGCGCAGAACUCCGAUUGCGAAGGCAGCAUGCCGGCUCCACACUGACGCUGAGGCACGAAAGCGUGGGUAUCGAACAGGAUUAGAUACCCCAGUAGUC
rnacentral:rRNA from 1 species